UGGGGAAUAUUGCACAAUGGGCGCAAGCCUGAUGCAGCCAUGCCGCGUGUAUGAAGAAGGCCUUCGGGUUGUAAAGUACUUUCAGCGAGGAGGAAGGUGUUGUGGUUAAUAACCGCAGCAAUUGACGUUACUCGCAGAAGAAGCACCGGCUAACUCCGUGCCAGCAGCCGCGGUAAUACGGAGGGUGCAAGCGUUAAUCGGAAUUACUGGGCGUAAAGCGCACGCAGGCGGUCUGUCAAGUCGGAUGUGAAAUCCCCGGGCUCAACCUGGGAACUGCAUCCGAAACUGGCAGGCUAGAGUCUUGUAGAGGGGGGUAGAAUUCCAGGUGUAGCGGUGAAAUGCGUAGAGAUCUGGAGGAAUACCGGUGGCGAAGGCGGCCCCCUGGACAUAGACUGACGCUCAGGUGCGAAAGCGUGGGGAGCAAACA
rnacentral:rRNA from 1 species